rnacentral:rRNA from 1 species
CCCUUAGAUGUUCUGGGCCGCACGCGCGCUACACUGAUGCGUUCAACGAGUUUACAACCUUGAUUGAUAGGUCUGGGUAAUCUUUUGAAUGCGCAUCGUGCUAGGGAUAGAUUAUUGCAAUUAUUAAUCUUCAACGAGGAAUGCCUAGUAAGCGCAAGUCAUCAGCUUGCGUUGAUUACGUCCCUGCCCUUUGUACACACCGCCCGUCGCUCCUACCGAUUGAAUGGUCCGGUGAAGCGCUUGGACCGCGGCCUCUUGACGGGUCUCCGUCGAUUGGCUGUGGGAAGUUCGUUAAACCUUAUCAUUUAGAGGAAGGAGAAGUCGUAACA